rnacentral:rRNA from 1 species
GACGUAGGGCGCGAGCGUUGUCCGGAUUUAUUGGGCGUAAAGAGCUCGUAGGCGGCUUGUCGCGUCUGUUGUGAAAGCCCGGGGCUUAACCCCGGGUCUGCAGUGGAUACGGGCAGGCUAGAGGCAGGUAGGGGAGAACGGAAUUCCCGGUGUAGCGGUGAAAUGCGCAGAUAUCAGGAGGAACACCGAUGGCGAAGGCAGGUCUCUGGGCUGACACUGACGCUGAACUGCGAAAGCUAGGGAGCGAACGGG